AUUCUGGGACCUUGCUGGGGGCAGACAGCCCUCCCUGCCCAGCAAUGGGCCUUUGGGAUGUGGCACAAGCUCCCGGGAAACCAGGAGUGACAAGGGCGCCUGUCCCUGAGGAGUGGAGAGCGCGGAGUUGGUGCUGAGUCAGCCCUGAUGUGGCAGAGGAGGAGCAGGCCCCCGCAGAACCAGGGCUCUUCAGUGUCUCCAGGUCCUUGGUGAAGUGGAACUGGACCAGGCGCGAGUUCCGGAACAGCGGCACUAGGGUGGUCUGCGGGGAAGCGAGGGGACCCCCAGCUCUGGCUUCUCCCACCACGGCCUCCCGGCUCCCAGCCCGCUGAGUCCCCCGGGCCCAGGACCAAACUGAGACUCCCCUGUCCUCCCUACCUCAGGAAACGUCAUCUCCACCGCUCAACCAGCCCAACCCUGGAGUGCUGUGGAAGCCGCUCUCAGAUCCCUUGGCAGCCCCCCAGGUGCAGGUCGUGGCUGCCCCUGCCCCGCUCAGUCCCUGCACAGCCACCAGCU
rnacentral:lncRNA from 1 species